AACUUUCAGCAACGGAUCUCUUGGCUCUCGCAUCGAUGAAGAACGCAGCGAAAUGCGAUAAGUAAUGUGAAUUGCARAAUUCAGUGAAUCAUCGAAUCUUUGAACGCACCUUGCGCUCCUUGGUAUUCCGAGGAGCAUGCCUGUUUGAGUGUCAU
rnacentral:rRNA from 1 species